GUGCUCACUUUACCAGCAUAUAUACUAAAAUUGGAACAAUACAGAGCAGGUUAGCAUGGCCCCUGCAUGAGGAUGAGAUGCAAAUUCACGAAUCAUUCUAUAUUUUU
ensembl:snRNA U6 U6 spliceosomal RNA